rnacentral:misc_RNA from 1 species
AUGUUAUGCUAAGCAACUUUAUGGCUGGGAUGGGGUUAUACAGAGACAGCUUCAACGGUCUCAAUAUCAAAUGCAAUAUAGUCGGCCUGUUCAAGUGGUUCUCUGGAUUUUUCUUUUCUUUUGUUUAAUUGUGUUAAUUGCAUUACGUGCAUUGUGAGGACCUAUGUAAUCUUCAUUCUGCAUUUUACAGCAGGGGCAAUAUGUGGCGUGAAGGGGGUUCUAGGGGCAGGAUGUAGGAUAAGUGUCCUGGAAAAGGUUUGUUCAUUAAGUGGCUCAUUAGGGAUAUAGGUAGGUUUUUCAUUUUUUGUAUGCUGCAACAUUUUGUUCCACGUAUAACUUCCGCCUUCAUCCCUUACUCUCUCUAGUAUCUAAUUCAAUGAUUCUUCCCUUUCCCUUCAAAUUUUGAUUUCUUUGACGAGGGGCAAUUUAUGUUGUAUUAUUGUAAGAGCCAAGAGUCACAUAGAAAGUUAGCAAAGGAUGAUUCUUGU